rnacentral:rRNA from 1 species
GAGUUUGAUCCUGGCUCAGGAUGAACGCUGGCGGCGUGCUUAACACAUGCAAGUCGAACGGGGUCAUGAUGUGUGAAGGAGCCAGCUUGCUGGGGACGGAGCUUUUCAUGACCUAGUGGCGGACGGGUGAGUAACGCGUGGGUAACCUGCCAUGUACAGGGGGAUAACAGCCGGAAACGGCUGCUAAUACCGCAUAAGCGCACGGAUACGCAUGUAUCAGUGUGAAAAGCCUCGACGGUACAUGAUGGACCCGCGUCCGAUUAGCCAGUUGGCGGGGUAACGGCCCACCAAGGCGACGAUCAGUAGCCGGACUGAGAGGUUGAUCGGCCACAUUGGGAUUGAGACACGGCCCAGACUCCUACGGGAGGCAGCAGUGGGGGAUAUUGCACAAUGGGGGAAACCCUGAUGCAGCGACGCCGCGUGAGGGAAGACGGUUUUCGGAUUGUAAACCUCUGUCUUCAGGGACGAAAUCAAUGACGGUACCUGAGGAGGAAGCCACGGCUAACUACGUGCCAGCAGCCGCGGUAAUACGUAGGUGGCAAGCGUUGUCCGGAAUUACUGGGUGUAAAGGGAGCGUAGGCGGGAAUGCAAGUUGAAUGUUUAAACUAUCGGCUCAACUGAUAAUCGCGUUCAAAACUGCAUUUCUUGAGUGGAGUAGAGGCAGGCGGAAUUCCUAGUGUAGCGGUGAAAUGCGUAGAUAUUAGGAGGAACACCAGUGGCGAAGGCGGCCUGCUGGGCUCUAACUGACGCUGAGGCUCGAAAGCGUGGGUAGCAAACAGGAUUAGAUACCCUGGUAGUCCACGCCGUAAACGAUGAUUACUAGGUGUGGGGGGACUGACCCCCUUCCGUGCCGGAGUUAACACAAUAAGUAAUCCACCUGGGGAGUACGGUCGCAAGACUGAAACUCAAAGGAAUUGACGGGGGCCCGCACAAGCAGUGGAGUAUGUGGUUUAAUUCGAAGCAACGCGAAGAACCUUACCAGGUCUUGACAUCGUGCGCAUACCGUAGAGAUACGGGAAGUCCUUCGGGACGCAUAGACAGGUGGUGCAUGGUUGUCGUCAGCUCGUGUCGUGAGAUGUUGGGUUAAGUCCCGCAACGAGCGCAACCCUUAUUAUUAGUUGCUACGCAAGAGCACUCUAAUGAGACUGCCGUUGACAAAACGGAGGAAGGUGGGGAUGACGUCAAAUCAUCAUGCCCCUUAUGACCUGGGCUACACACGUACUACAAUGGCACUUAACAGAGGGAAGCAAGACCGCGAGGUGGAGCAAACCCCCAAAAAGUGUCUCAGUUCGGAUUGCAGGCUGCAACCCGCCUGUAUGAAGUCGGAAUUGCUAGUAAUCGCGGAUCAGCAUGCCGCGGUGAAUACGUUCCCGGGCCUUGUACACACCGCCCGUCACACCAUGAGAGCCGGUAACACCCGAAGUCAGUAGCCUAACCGCAAGGAGGGCGCUGCCGAAGGUGGGAUUGGUGAUUAGGGUGAAGUCGUAACAAGGUAAC